rnacentral:rRNA from 1 species
AGAGUUUGAUCUUGGCUCAGGACGAACGCUGGCGGCGCGCCUAACACAUGCAAGUCGAACGGAGUUAUUUUCUUCACUCCGAGCUUUUUGCCAGUUAGCCGGAGCGGCAAUCGGUUUUGCCCAGCAUAAAAAGCAAAACCGAUUUAGGCUCAUAAAGUAAGACUAACACAGAGGGCAGAGAGUUGGGAGUGAAGAAAAUAACUUAGUGGCGAACGGGUGAGUAACGCGUGAGUAACCUGCCCUGGAGUGGGGGACAACAGUUGGAAACGACUGCUAAUACCGCAUAAGCCCACGGCCCGGCAUCGGGCUGAGGGAAAAGGAUUUAUUCGCUUCAGGAUGGACUCGCGUCCAGUUAGCUAGUUGGUGAGGUAACGGCCCACCAAGGCGACGAUUGGUAGCCGGACUGAGAGGUUGAACGGCCACAUUGGGACUGAGACACGGCCCAGACUCCUACGGGAGGCAGCAGUGGGGGAUAUUGCACAAUGGGGGAAACCCUGAUGCAGCGACGCCGCGUGGAGGAAGAAGGUUUUCGGAUUGUAAACUCCUGUCGUUAGGGACGAUAAUGACGGUACCUAACAAGAAAGCACCGGCUAACUACGUGCCAGCAGCCGCGGUAAAACGUAGGGUGCAAGCGUUGUCCGGAAUUACUGGGUGUAAAGGGAGCGCAGGCGGACCGGCAAGUUGGAAGUGAAAACUAUGGGCUCAACCCAUAAAUUGCUUUCAAAACUGCUGGCCUUGAGUAGUGCAGAGGUAGGUGGAAUCCCCGGUGUAGCGGUGGAAUGCGUAGAUAUCGGGAGGAACACCAGUGGCGAAGGCGACCUACUGGGCACCAACUGACGCUGAGGCUCGAAAGCAUGGGUAGCAAACAGGAUUAGAUACCCUGGUAGUCCAUGCCGUAAACGAUGAUUACUAGGUGUUGGAGGAUUGACCCCUUCAGUGCCGCAGUUAACACAAUAAGUAAUCCACCUGGGGA